rnacentral:rRNA from 1 species
UACGGAGGGUGCAAGCGUUAUCCGGAUUCACUGGGUUUAAAGGGUGCGUAGGUGGGUAUGUAAGUCAGUGGUGAAAUCCCCGAGCUUAGCUUGGGAACUGCCGUUGAUACUAUAUAUCUUGAAUAUCGCGUAGGUAAGCGGAAUAUGUCAUGUAGCGGUGAAAUGCUUAGAUAUGACAUAGAACACCAAUUGCGAAGGCAGCUUACUUCACGAUCAUUGACACUGAGGCACGAAAGCGUGGGGAGCAAACAGG